rnacentral:rRNA from 1 species
CUUCCUACUGUUGGUGUGGGUGUUGUUUUUUGUGUUUGUUGUUUUGUUGUUUUGUUGUGUGUUGUGUGUUUGUGUGUUUGUUGUUUUGUUGUGUGUUUUGUUGUAUGCCAGUGCUUAUACGGUUACAUACAUGUACUACACACUGUACCAUCUCCUCACAGCUCUUACUUAGCACACCAUACUUUACCAUUGCAUAUACUCUUAUUACACUAUCGUAGUACUCCAUUAUGCUAUGCAUGCUAUCCACGUAAUGCACGUAGCUACACAUACAUGUACGUACUUAGUGUAUGCUCACCUACUUGUCCUGAUACAUUGUCUUGCUGUCAUACAUGCCCUGCUAAGUACAAGCAUCGGAUGCUCCACCAAUUUUUUU